GCUGCGCCUUCGCCGCCGCCGCCGCAACCUCCAGCACCGCCGCCCCAGGCCCCGCAGCCGCCGCGUCGCCGCCAUUUUUUAAAGGGUCCGCAGCCUGACUCUGCGGAGUAAGGGGGGGUGGAGCGGGGGAGUCGGCCUCGCCAGCGCGCAUGCGCGAGGCCCGAGCCGCCGCUUGGGUCACAGUGAAAGCCACCGUUGCCCGGGGAUGGGUCCCUGACACUUGGGGAAGUAGGAGCCCUGUGUGAUCGUGCGUCUGAGUCUGGGCUGAGACCAGUCCUGGCCAGGGCAGUUACCAGGACGGUCUCCGGAGGCCGGGAUUCGCGGAGGGUCCAGCAGCAGGAAGAAACCCCAGGAGGAAGAAACCUCAGACAGAUCGCCGGCGAGGCAGCGCGGGAUCCCAGCCUCAGGCGUGCGCGGACGGUGUGCGGCGCACACAACCAAGCUUAGGAGCCGACUGUUAAGAUGCCCCAGUGACACGGACAAGUUUCUCCUCUGCAACCCAAUGAGAGCUGCUGACCACGAGAGCAUCGCGGGACCGCCAAAGGAUUCUGGAAAAUGUGGUCCCGGGUGGCCAGUGUGCGCUGACCUUCACCUGAAGGUACGGCUUGAAGGAAACUUCUGGAGGGUGGGGUGGUGUUGAAGAGAAGGCACAAUUGUCACCAUUUUGUUCAACAUGGGCGUUUUCUUUGUGCAUUGAUUUGCAUUUUUAAAGGAACUCCUCCUCAAAACAGAAGAAGCCUAUAGGAUUUUAACCUGGAAACUACUCAGGGAAUCUGGAAUAUUCCUUCCAGGGAUAUCUGCAGCUGAAACCUGGCAGUAAUUUAAACAAAACCAGACAACUCU
rnacentral:lncRNA from 1 species